rnacentral:tRNA from 1 species
GCCUCCGUAGCUCAGGGGAAGAGCACUUCUCUCCUAAAGAAGGUGUCGCAGGUUCGAUUCCUGCCGGGGGCA